rnacentral:rRNA from 1 species
UACGUAGGUGGCAAGCGUUGUCCGGAAUUAUUGGGCGUAAAGCGCGCGCAGGUGGUUCUUUAAGUCUGAUGUGAAAGCCCCCGGCUCAACCGGGGAGGGUCAUUGGAAACUGGGGAACUUGAGUGCAGAAGAGGAUAGUGGAAUUCCAAGUGUAGCGGUGAAAUGCGUAGAGAUUUGGAGGAACACCAGUGGCGAGGGCGACUAUCUGGUCUGUAACUGACACUGAGGCGCGAAAGCGUGGGGAGCAAACAGG